rnacentral:rRNA from 1 species
UCCGCGGCCUAUCAGCUUGUUGGCGGGGUAAUGGCCCACCAAGGCGACGACGGGUAGCUGGUCUGAGAGGAUGGCCAGCCACAUUGGGACUGAGAGACGGCCCAGACUCCUACGGGAGGCAGCAGUGGGGAAUCUUGCGCAAUGGUCUAACGACUGACGCAGCGGCGCCGCGUGUGGGAGGACGCCUUUCGGGGUGUAAACCACUGUUGCCCGGGACGAACAGCCCUUUUCGAGGGGUCUGACGGUACCGGGUGAGGAAGCACCGGCUAACUCCGUGCCAGCAGCCGCGGUAAUACGGAGGGUGCGAGCGUUGUCCGGAAUCAUUGGGCGUAAAGGGCGCGUAGGUGGCCCAGCAAGCGUGCGGUGAAAGCUCGGGGCUCAACCCCGAGUCGGCCGUGCGAACUGCUGGGCUGGAGCACUGUAGAGGCAGGCGGAAUUCCGGGUGUAGCGGUGGAAUGCGUAGAGAUCCGGAAGAACACCGGUGGCGAAGGCGGCCUGCUGGGCAGUUGCUGACACUGAGGCGCGACAGCGUGGGGAGCAAACAGGAUUAGAUACCCUGGUAGUCCACGCCGUAAACGAUGGGCACUAGGCGCUUGGGGGAGCGACCCCCCGAGGGCCGGCGCUAACGCAUUAAGUGCCCCGCCUGGGGAGUACGG